GCCCUCUAGGAGGGCGGGGCCUGGCCCCGCCGCAGCCAUCCCCGACGGCCGCCGGGAGGGGGACCGAAGAGAGACUGAGUCCAGGGCUGCGCAGUCGGACGGCGAGGGGCUUGCGGCUUGCAGCGCCGAGCAGAAAGCAAAGCCAGCCGCGCGUCUUCCAGGACUCAUUGUGAGGCGCCACUCCAGGAAACGCUGAUCUGGUUCCAGCCCGGCAUCGCACAGCUGUCGGAGACUGCUCUGGAAUUUUCCAAUAAAACGCGCAUUCGUGUCAUUCCCUUGUGUCGCCGGCCGUCCGUACACGCUUGCCGGGAGGCGUGGGCAGACCCUCCAGUGUUUACAGAAAGUAUACACCAGGAAGCAUA